GCCUUCGUGGUGUAGUGGUCAGCACAUUUAACGCGUAACCGAGGUCCGUGGUUCGAUUCCCGGCGAAGGAA
rnacentral:tRNA from 1 species